rnacentral:rRNA from 1 species
UACAGAGGGCGCGAGCGUUAAUCGGAAUUACUGGGCGUAAAGCGCGCGUAGGCGGCUUUGCAAGUCGGGUGUGAAAUCCCCAGGCUUAACCUGGGAACUGCAUUCGAGACUGCAUUGCUAGAGUAUGGGAGAGGGAAGUGGAAUUUCCGGUGUAGCGGUGAAAUGCGUAGAUAUCGGAAGGAAUACCGGUGGCGAAGGCGGCAUCCUGGACCGACAUUGACGCUGAUGAGCGAAAGCUAGGGGAGCAAACGGG